rnacentral:rRNA from 1 species
AAAUGAAUAGACGGGGGCCCGCACAAGCGGAGGAGCAUGUGGUUUAAUUCGAUGAUACGCGAGGAACCUUACCUGGGUUAGAACGUAAAUUUGAUAUUUAGGAAACUAGAUAGUCUGUUAAAGGAAGAUUUACGAGGUGCUGCAUGGUUGUCGUCAGCUCGUGCCGUGAGGUGUCAGGUUAAGUCCUAUAACGAGCGCAACCCCUACACUUAGUUACCAGCACGUUAUGGUGGGGACUCUAUGUGGACUGCCUGCGUAAGCAGAGAGGAAGGUGGGGAUGACGUCAAAUCAGCACGGCCCUUACGUCCAGGGCGACACACGUGCUACAAUGGCAAGUACAGAGGGCAGCUACUCAGUGAUGAGAUGCCAAUCUCAAAAGCUUGUCUCAGUUCGGAUUGGAGUCUGCAACCCGACUCCAUGAAGUUGGAUUCGCUAGUAAUCGCAGAUCAGCCAUGCUGCGGUGAAUACGUUCCCGGGCCUUGUACACACCGCCCGU